AAGUCGUAACAAGGUUUCCGUAGGUGAACCUGCGGAAGGAUCAUUCAUGACGAUUGCGUGCCUAUCUUUACAAAUGGCCGUACAUCAUUUUUUUUUUUUUCUUCAACCCGACAGUUAAAAGGAUGACAACAACAUAACAAAAAAAAACUUUCAACAACGGAUCUCUUGGCUCUC
rnacentral:misc_RNA from 1 species